ACGGGUGCGGAACACGUACGCAACUUUCCUUCAAGCGGGAGAUAGCCCGGAGAAAUCCGGAUUAAUACCCCAUAAGAUUGUGGAUCGGCAUCGAUCAGCAAUUAAAGAUUUAUCACUUGAAGAUGGGCGUGCGUCUGAUUAGGUAGUUGGUGAGGUAACGGCUCACCAAGCCGACGAUCAGUAACUGGCGUGAGAGCGCGACCAGUCACACGGGCACUGAGACACGGGCCCGACUCCUACGGGAGGCAGCAGUAAGGAAUAUUGGUCAAUGGACGCAAGUCUGAACCAGCCAUGCCGCGUGGAGGAUGAAGGUCCUCUGGAUUGUAAACUUCUUUUAUCUGGGAAGAAAUGCUUUUUUUCUAAAGAGCUUGACGGUACCAGAUGAAUAAGCACCGGCUAACUCCGUGCCAGCAGCCGCGGUAAUACGGAGGGUGCAAGCGUUAUCCGGAUUCACUGGGUUUAAAGGGUGCGUAGGCGGAACAGAAAGUCCGUUGUGAAAUCUCCGAGCUUAACUCGGAAAUUGCGGUGGAUACUAUUGUUCUUGAAUACUGUUGAGGUUAGCGGAAUAUGUCAUGUAGCGGUG
rnacentral:rRNA from 1 species